AUGGGUUGGAGUUAUAUCAUCCUCUUCCUGGUAGCAACAGCUAUAGGUGUCCACUCCCAGGUCCAGCUGCAGCAGUCUGGAGCUGAGCUGGUGAGGCCUGGGGCCUCAGUGAAGAUGUCCUGCAAGGCUUCUUGAUACACCUUCACUGACUACAACAUGCACUGGGUGAAGCAGAGUCAUGCAAAGAGUCUAGAGUUGAUUGGAGUUAUUAAUCCUUACAAUGAUUAUACUAACUACAACCAGAAGUUCAAGGGCAAGGCCACAAUCACUGUAGACAAAUCCUCCAGCACAGCCUACAUGGAGCUUGGCAGUUUGACAUCUGAGGACUCUGCUGUCUAUUACUGUGCAAGACACAGUGGUUCAACCACAUCCUGA